CAACAACAACAACAAUGACAACAGCAACAAUAAGAGAACCAGCAGCAGCAAUCCUGCGGAUCCUGAUUACUCCACUCCGAAGAAAAUUAUCAAUAUUCAUAAAUUUACCAGUUUGAGCCAACGAAAAACAUGGGAUAAAGAUAAAUUUUAUCCAUAAAAAUUAAGUAUUGCGCUUCCUGCACUUUGCUGCACUCUACCUGAACAUGGAGAUGCUUGAUAACACCACGAUGUCAAAGGUUGUCCGUUUUCUAGAUAAAUCGCUAACAGUUACUUUUGAAGUCUUCUUUGAACAGUCAAACGUCAGUUUACCUGGAUAGAAAUAAUGCAGUUAACAAGAGUACUCAGAGAGUGCAAACAGCUGCCAAAGCAACACCAACGUCCUCUCAACGAUUAGACAGAGAUGAUUUUUAAAAUGAGAAUAUCUGAAAUAAACUCGACUGCUCUCACAAACGGGAAUACUAAAUAUGAACCCGAUCGCUCUCAAAAA